UGGCUCAGUGGUAGAGUGCUUGCCUUGCAUGCAUGAGGCCCUGGGUUCGAUUCCCUAG
rfam:Dipodomys ordii contig_8138, whole genome shotgun sequence.